GAUGAACGCUGGCGGCGUGCCUAAUACAUGCGAGUCGAGCGAACAGACGAGGAGCUUGCUCCUCUGACGUUAGCGGCGGACGGGUGAGUAACACGUGGAUAACCUACCUAUAAGACUGGGAUAACUUCGGGAAACCGGAGCUAAUACCGGAUAAUAUAUUGAACCGCAUGGUUCAAUAGUGAAAGACGGUUUUGCUGUCACUUAUAGAUGGAUCCGCGCCGCAUUAGCUAGUUGGUAAGGUAACGGCUUACCAAGGCAACGAUGCGUAGCCGACCUGAGAGGGUGAUCGGCCACACUGGAACUGAGACACGGUCCAGACUCCUACGGGAGGCAGCAGUAGGGAAUCUUCCGCAAUGGGCGAAAGCCUGACGGAGCAACGCCGCGUGAGUGAUGAAGGUCUUCGGAUCGUAAAACUCUGUUAUUAGGGAAGAACAAAUGUGUAAGUAACUAUGCACGUCUUGGCGGUACCUAAUCAGAAAGCCACGGCUAACUACGUG
rnacentral:rRNA from 1 species